AAGAAACCCAAGCAGAGGACAAGUUAGUCAAAACGAUUGAGAGUAGCAGGAGAGAUAAUUUUAACAACCCCGAGAAGAGUCCGUUUUCACUGAUCUAGAAGUGUUGGCUGCCAUUUUAGCAAGCGCUGUACAUGAUGUCGAUCAUCCAGGAGUCAAUAAUCACUUCUUGGUGCCAACAAACGCUGAAAUGGCGCUCAUGUGCAAUGAUGAGUCUGUUAUCGAAAAUGAUUAUCUCGCCGUUGCAUUUCAACUUUUGCAACAAGAAGACUGUGACAUUCUUGAAAAUCUGACGAAGAAAGAGAGACAAACAGUGUAGAGAACGAUUAUUGAAAUGGUGCUCGCAACUGAUAAUGCUAAACACAUGGGUCUGCUUGCUUCA